UUACUUACCUGGCAGGGGAGAUGCCAUAUCAUGAAGGUGGUUUUCCCAGGGUGAGUUUCAUCUAUUGCGCUCUGGAUGUGCUGACCCCUGCAAUUUCCCCAAGUGCAGGAAAAUCAACUGCAUAAUUUGUGGUAGUGGGGGACUAUGUUCAUGUUUUCCAC
rnacentral:snRNA from 1 species